CGCGUAGGCGGCUUUUUAAGUCUGGGGUGAAAACCUGUGGCUCAACCACAGGCCUGCCCCAGAAACUGGAGAGCUUGAGGCCGUGAGAGGAAAGCGGAAUUCCUGGUGUAUCGGUGAAAUGAGUUGAUAUCAGGAGGAACACCGGUGGCGAAGGCGGCUUUCUGGUGCGGUUCUGACGCUGAGGUGCGAAAGCAUGGGGAGCAAACG
rnacentral:rRNA from 1 species